rnacentral:lncRNA from 1 species
AUGCAAGUUCGAGAAACAAGAGAAAAGCUAAAGACAGAUAUCACAGACGAAGAGAUGUCAGAACUUGCAGACAUAAUAGAACAAAGGAGAGACAAUAUAUUGAUGUUCUAUUCAGAAAUAAGAAACCAAACUGCACCACCAUCUGACAUAAGGAGAAAGAUUGAUGCAUGUGAAGCAGUAACUCAUGAAGUUGUAAGAAUAAUUCUGGAGAGAAUAAGUGGUGUUGAUGGAGAUUUUGAUGCAGAGCGUGAAAGAACUCGUUUACGUGGACUUUUACAGCGUGACUAUGCCUUGUCCAUAUAUGGCUCGACCGCGGCAUCAAACCACAGCCAACGAUCCUCAGCUUCACAGCUUACCGCAAAGCGAGCCGAAGCAGCAGCAAAACUAGCAGCAAAAGAGGCAGAAUAUGAGGUUGUAUUAGAGGAACAAAGACAAAGAGAAAGGAUAAAGGCUCUAGAGGAUGAGCACAAGGAACAAAUGGCGGCGCAAAAUUCAGAGCUGGAACGCUUAAGAGCGCAGAAGGAAGUAAAAGCGGCUCGAGCCAGGUUGGAAGCAUAUGAUAGAGAGUUAUCACUGGUGGGGGAUGAACAGUCAAUAAAAGGCGAACCAGUUAACCCAAACUUCACACCCAAACAGCCCACACCAGCACUCCCCUUCAUUCCUGUGCAAACAGCUCACUCGGAUGUCUCUGAGCUAGCACAAGCAGGGCAAGACAGCAUAAAAAUGAACAAACUUCCCACGCCAGAACCAACAGUGUUUAGUGAUCCAAUAAACUUCAUAGAGUGGAAAUCCACAUUCAUGUCCCUGAUUGAACGAAAGGGCCUCUCAGCGGCAGAUAAAAUGUACUAUUUAAAAACAUACGUAACUGGGUCGGCUCGCAAAUGUCUUGAAGGAACUUUCUUCAGAAACGAUGAAGAGGCAUACAAAGAUGCUUGGGAUAAACUAAACCAAAGAUACGGUCAACCAUUCAUGAUACAAAAGGCAUUUAGAGAGAAGCUAGCGAAUUGGCCAAAGGUGCAGUCCAGAGACGCUGAUGGAUUAAGGAACCUUGCAGAUUUCAUAAAUGCAUGCAAGCUUGCUAUGCCUCACGUAAAGGGACUACAAAUACUCAACGACUGCGAAGAAAAUCAAAGAUUGUUGCACAAACUACCGGACUGGAUAAAUGCAAGAUGGAAUAGACAGGUAACAAAAACUUUAAUGGAGGGGGGUGAGUUUCCAAGUUUCUGUGAUUUUGCUUCCUUCCUCUCGUUAGAAGCGGAAGUUGCUUGCAACCCAGUCACCUCCAUUCACGCACUUCGCCGCACUGAAACAAAUAUUGAUAAAAGGAGUACUAGGGUAAUCAGUGGGAGUAAAGCAGGUGUAUUUAACACAAAUGCAACUGUACAAAGUGACAAACGGACAAUAACAAAGACACCUAACAGUUCUCCAUGCAUGUUGUGCCAGGACGUACAUCAGCUUCACAAGUGCCCAGACUUCUUAAAGAUGUCUCUAGAAAACAAAAAGAAAUAUGUGAGAGACAAUAAACUUUGUUAUGGCUGUCUGAAAAAAGGACACAGUGCUAAGGACUGCAGACGCCGCCUCACUUGCGAAACCUGCACAAAGAGACAUCCUGUGUGUCUUCAUGAUGAAAACUACAGUAACGGUUUGCAAAGACAAACACGUGGGAGUACGGAGAAUGCAAAUCAAGGUAACUCACCUGAAACUGCAACAGCCAUGUCACUUAAUGUUGCCAGAUCAGAACAGACAGUCAGCACCUCAAUGAUAGUCCCAGUAUGGCUGUCAACCACCACCAAUCCACUCAAGGAAAAAUUGGUCUAUGCAUUAUUAGACACUCAGAGCGAUGCUGUCUUUGUGGAUCAGGAUGUAACGCAGGAGCUGCAGGCAGAUGUUUGUCCAGUAAAAUUGAAAUUGACUACCAUGAUGGGUAAAAAUGCUGUUGUAAGUAGUGGAAGGGUGUCUGAUCUCUUGGUGAGAGGUUACAACUCAGCCACAGUCAUAAAGCUCCCCACGGCAUACUCCAAGGAUUGCUUACCUGCUAACAGGGAACACAUACCCACAUGUGAAACAGCCAAACAGUGGAGUCAUUUACUGCCUAUUGUAGAUGAGAUCCCUCCACUCCUCAGUUGUGAAGUGGGUCUCCUUAUAGGUUACACCUGUCCCAGGGCUCUUGCACCUAAACAAAUAAUCUUAGGAAAAGAUGGUGAGCCCUAUGCUAUUCGCACGGACUUAGGAUGGAGCAUAGUAGGCAACGCAGCGCUUUGCAAUGAAACGGAUAUAUACGGCAGUCUCUGCCACAGAGUCUGA